rnacentral:rRNA from 1 species
CCUACGGGGGGCUGCAGUGAGGAAUAUUGGUCAAUGGGCGCAAGCCUGAACCAGCCAUGCCGCGUGCAGGAAGAAGGCCCUAAGGGUUGUAAACUGCUUUUGUACGGGGGUAAUUUUGGUUACGUGUAAUCAAUUGAAAGUACUGUACGAAUAAGGAUCGGCUAACUCCGUGCCAGCAGCCGCGGUAAUACGGAGGAUCCAAGCGUUAUCCGGAUUUAUUGGGUUUAAAGGGUGCGUAGGCGGGUUUGUAAGUCAGUGGUGAAAUCGAGCAGCUU